rnacentral:rRNA from 1 species
CCUACGGGAGGCAGCAGUGGGGAAUAUGGGGCAAUGGGCGCAAGCCGGACCAGGCAACGCCGCGGGAAGGAAGAAGGCUUUCGGGUUGUAAACUUCUUUUCUCAGGGACGAAGAAAGUGAGGGUACCUGAGGAAUAAGCCACGGCUAACUACGGGCCAGCAGCCGCGGAAAUACGUAGGUGGCAAGCGUUAUCCGGAUUUACUGGGUGUAAAGGGCGUGUAGGCGGGACUGCAAGUCAGAUGUGAAAACCACGGGCUCAACCUGUGGCCUGCAUUUGAAACUGUAGUUCUUGAGUACUGGAGAGGCAGACGGAAUUCCUAGUGUAGCGGUGAAAUGCGUAGAUAUUAGGAGGAACACCAGUGGCGAAGGCGGUCUGCUGGACAGCAACUGACGCUGAGGCGCGAAAGCGUGGGGAGCAAACAGGAUUAGAUACCCCAGUAGUC